AUGCUGUUCACAUUCUCUCUCCGAGAUGAUGCUCGUGCUUGGUAUCGAUCCUUGCCAUCAAGAUCAUUCAGUUGGAACAAGAUAUCACGAGCUUUCUUGGAUAAAUAUUUCCCACUACACAAGCAGUCUACAAUUCGAGAUGAGAUCUUCAGCUUCGUUCAGCGUGAAGCGGGUGGAGCUAUUACAAACAAGACACUUGAUGAUGCUUUUCUGCUGAUUGAGAGCAUAGCUUUCGACCAACUUCAGUGGUACAAUGAGAAGCCCACCUCUGAUUCAUUGGUUUGCUUGCAACAAAUCACUACACCUCAGCCACCAAUUGUUACACAAAAGCCUGAACCACUAUACUACAAUGACAAGAUUGAGCUUGCAUGGAUUAUCUUUGACGAUGAUGAUACCAUUCUAGUUGACACACACGCUACAGAUCAUAUGGAUACUAGUGUUGGAGAUUUAAUUUUGCAUUGUGAUGAUUCUUCCAUGGAUGAGCCAGAGCUGCAGUUAGUUGUUUUUGAUAUUGAGGAGUCACCUUUAGUUGAUAUUGAUCAUGUGCUGCUAGAGCCAGAUAUGGAGAAGUUCAGCUUCAAUGAUGUUAGCCGCAUUGAUUCCUCAACACUUGAGCCUGAGAUGGAGAGCUUCAUGGUUAAUUAUGAUGAGGUGGAUUCAGAUGUCAAGGAGCCAAGCUCUACUAUUUCACUUGUUGACACGAGUCCGGUGGAAAUUUCUACAACCACACCUCACUUGGUAUCUUCAAUUGAGGUAGCCCUGAAGCUUCUUCCUAACUAUCUCAGGUAUUAUCUCAGCUUUCUGGACAAGUUAUGUCAUAUCGCUGAUAUUGCCUAUGCACCAUGUGACUUGUUGAUACAUGUUCCUGAUUUGCUCAAUAGAUAUACUUAUAUGAUAGGGUACUCUAUCGAUGACUUAGAGGGCAUUCUCUCUGUCACUUGUAUUGGCUUGCUUGUUGAGUGUUCUUUCAGGUUGAUGCUUGUGCACCAUUUACUGCGAGUUGACCGAGUUCGAGAUGACAUUCCCUGGGACCCCGGUGGAUUCACGGCAUGGUGA
rnacentral:rRNA from 1 species